UACAGAGGUCUCAAGCGUUGUUCGGAUUCAUUGGGCGUAAAGGGUGCGUAGGUGGUUACGUAAGUUAGGUGUGAAAGCCCCGGGCUCAACCUGGGAACUGCGCUUAAUACUGCGAAGCUAGAGUGUUGUAGAGGUAAGUGGAAUUCCGGUGUAGCGGUGAAAUGCGUAGAUAUCGGAAGGAACACCAGUGGCGAAGGCGACUUACUGGGCAAUAACUGACACUGAGGCACGAAAGCGUGGGGAGCAAACAGG
rnacentral:rRNA from 1 species